AGCAUCAGUGCAGAACGCUCAGGAAGAAUUUCAGAACAAUCUCUGUCUGUACUCUGGCGCCCUCCUCCCCUUAAGGCCGCCUAGCGAACUACUCGUCUCUGUCGGGUGUCCACUGAGUGACUGCAGCUGGAGAGACAAUAACUGUCUGCCACACAGCCUGAACUCGCUUCGCCAUGGAUCAGCAUCAGGACUUCAACUCGAGCAUGGACGGCCACGCCGCCCUGCAAUUCAACUCUGGGGAGACCACGGCCUCGGCUGCCCUGGCCAACAUGACCCUGAAGGAACCUCUGGACCAGCGGGAGGUUCAGAAGCCUAACGGGAUGCCAGACGCACACAUGGGACCUGGGGACAUGAAAGAAGAUUUGCUGGAGCUGUCACCUGAACUGAAAUCACAGCCUCGAGCACCAGUGUCAGAGGUGUCUGUGUCUAAGAGCGACCUCUCGGCUACCGGAGGGACGACCGCUACAGGUCAAGAGGAGCUCACCGCGUCGCUCAGCCCCACGCCAGGAGGCCUCAGUCCUGCCACAGAGAGCGGCCGCAGCAGCAGGUCCGGCUUUGCCGACGGUGGGAGCGAAGAUGGGGAGAGAGCUGGGUCGGUGAGCCCCCGGGCGUCUCCUUCAGCCCCUGAAGCCCCAAUCGAGAGGGACACUCCAAGGCUCUUCUCCCCAGACUCGCUGGGGUCUGAGCUGAAGAGGAGCCCGUCUGACAAGGUCUCUGAUGUCUCUGUGGGCCACAGCUUGAGCGGCUCUGGGUCUGAGGACGAGGAUAAGAAGGACGUAUGUGACAGCAAGGAGGCUCCUACCUCGGCCUAUGAAGACAUGAUCAGUCCUGAGAAGCCUCAGAGCCCUCUUUUCACAGAAAAGGAGGGGACGAAAGAGCAGGAGGAUGAAGAAAAAGAGGAGGAUAGCGACGAGGAAGAGGAUGAAGAAGAGGAAGAGAGAACCGAGGUGUCAACAAUCCGCAGGAGGCCACGGCGUGAAGCCAGCUCAGAAGAGGAAGAGCAGCAGAAAGAUGAAGGUCGCGCCCCUGUCAUUCCUGUUGCCAUGACCCCGGAGGAAGCCAAGCAGCGCGUCCUAUCCUUUGACUACACAGAGCCUGAGGGACACCCCCCUGGUCAGGGCAUUCCUUCAGGGUGGCAGAACGGAGCAGACAAGAGCCCCCCAGGGAGCAAGAGUCCUGACUCCAACAGGGCUGACCCUGGAUCUCCCUUCUCCCCUAGCACUGCAGCCGACCAGACCCAGGACGAGUCUCCUCUCAUCGAGCACCAGCCAGAAGCCCUCGACGAGGUGGAGCAGGUGACUGAGGAGCAGGUGACUGAGGAGGAGAUGCAGGAGGAAGAAGAGGUGCAGGAGAAGGUAGCUAGUCCCCUGCCCAUGAUUGCUGUGCCCCAGAUGGAGGUUGAGCCCGUCCAGAUGGAUGACGAACCUGUGAAGACCUCAAAGGACACUCAAGGCCAAUACCUGGAGUCUGCAGACGAGGCCGGCAUCACAGCGGUGACAACAACUCAGUCGGUGACCAAAGCCAAACCUGCAGAAGCCAAAUCUGCAGAAACGAAGCCUAAGGCUGGCAAGGCUGCUAGUGGCCUCAAAGGAGAUGGCAAAGGAGGUGCUCCCACAGCAGCCAAAGGCCCGGUCAGGAAAGAUAAGAAAGUGACCGCUACUGCUGUUGCCCCUCCCACCGCCGGUAAAGCUCAGAAAGCACCCCCAAAAGAUGCCGCCCCACCGGGCAGAAAAGCAAAUGUUCCAGGUGCCCAGCUCAAAGCCAAGGCCGGUGCAGGGGCUGGGAAAGAAGCAGCUGAGAAAAAGACACCCAACGCCACCACACCUGCCAAAGCAUCCACCCCCAAACGACCCUCCUCUGUCCAAACCACCCCCAGCAAAAAGCCUUGGUCCUCUUCCUCUGGCCCAGCCUGCAACACUAGCAGGCCCAGCUCAAUAUUUAAACCCAGUCCAGGCAGUGCAGGAUCCAGAGAACCCAGGCCAAGGACUGGAGAUGGGAAGACCGCCAGCACCAGGACACCAGGUGCUAAACCCCAGGGUGCUGGGACCAGGAUGCAGACCAAGACCACUGCAGGAGUGGAUUCCCCCAAGACGCCCCAGAAUCGUAGUGGCUACAGCAGCCCCAGCACACCCAAAUCCCCCGCCAGCCGGGAGGUGAAGAAGGUGGCGGUGGUGCGGACCCCUCCUAAAUCACCUGGGUCCAUGAGGGGGCGCAGUCCGGUGCCCCUGGCGCCCCCAUGCCCGACCUGAAGAACGUCCGGUCAAAGAUUGGCUCCACGGAGAACAUCAAGCACUCGCCUGGUGGAGGACGGGUGCAAAUAGUUGAGAAGAAGAUGGAUUUAAGUAACGUUCAGUCAAAGUGUGACUCCAAAGCCAAUCUCAAGUAUACCCCAGGAGGUGGCAAUGUUCAAAUUACUCACAAAAAGAUUGACCUAAGCAACGUACAGUCAAAGUGUGGAUCGAAGGCCAACAUUCACCACAAACCAGGUGGAGGCAAUGUGGAGAUCAAAUCUGAGAAGUUGGACUUCAAGGUUCAGUCUAAGAUUGGAUCAAUGGACAACGUUGGUCAUGUGGCUGGAGGUGGCGGGAGGAAGAUUGAAAGCCACAAAUUGAGUUUCCGUGAGACGGCAAAGGCCCGUACCGACCACGGAGCGGAGAUUGUCCCCGUGGAGAUCAUCACAGGCGGCUCACCCGCCCAUCUUCUCAGCAACGUGUCGUCCCCCGGAAGCCAGAACAUGACAGAGACGCCGCCGCUAUCCAUGCUUGCCGAUCAGGUCUCCGCCUCCCUCGCCAAGCAAGGCCUGUGAUUCGACCACGUCCCUCCCUGAAAAAAAGCAUUGUAGGUUACCAAGGGAACCAACCGCCAGAUAAAAAGAGAAACGAAGAGAAAAAGAAGCACCUCACUCAGUCUCUCCCUUCUUCCUUGAAAUUUAAAUUCGCUCGCAGGAUUUUGCCGAAAUGGGAUAUCAGUCAGGGCAAAGUGCUCCGUUGAAUGAACAGCUGUUUAUAGUCUUGAUAGUUAGGUAGACACAGGUCAUGAAAACAUAUACGUGAAAGAAAAGCAACAUUAUGAUAUACCCAUAAACUCGCAGCCCGGUCUUCUUAUAAAAUACAUUUGCCCUACUUUCCAUUUAACAGUGCAAUUAAUUGGGCUGCUCAAUUUGAACGCAAAGGCUCGCAUGAAAAUAUUGUGGAUGUUUGAAUAUGCUAAUUUAGGCCUUCAAAAUGUGAAGUAGCCAAAGACUUGACUCUUUUCUCAACUAGAAAAGGUCAGCUAAAGUAAAGUGACACCGUACUAUACCUUUCAAACAAUGUCAAGUGCCAAAAAGACCGCUGCCCUUUCGUGUUUAAAUCACUGAUAUUCCCCAGUUGAGAAAUCCGCGAAGAUUUAUUUACGGCAUUCUGAAAUUCAAACGUUGUCGUAAACAGUUGCUGUGAUGUAAUGAAUGGAGUGCAAGUAAGGCACAUUGACUCUGCCUUUGAGAUGAUUAAAAUAGACAUCGUUUGUGAAAUUAUAAAAUAAACUGUUUAUGAGAAAACACCCAAAGUAUUUGACUUGGAGUUAAAGCCCAUGUCCUGUUCAAAACAUGUCAAGGAUCCCAUUGCUGAGCAAUUUAAAGCAAUGAAGUAAUCAAUUAAUUAUGAUUUAAUGGAGUAAUUAGGCUACAUGGUGCAUACAACGUCAAUCAAUUGGAUAAGAUUGCUAAUUUUGAAGUUGAGUUUUGUUUGUUUGUAUGGUAUAGUCUACGUGCUGGUAUGUUGGUGGUAUAUCAUCAAACCUAGGUUUGAGAAAUGUAUAAAUGCCUAUUGGGAAUAUAUGGACUGAUUCCUUAUCAUAAACAGCUCAAAUUUGCCAGAGUAAAAAAAAAAAAAGUGCCUAGCAAUGGCUUAUAAAUUCACUGCUCAUAUCUAGUCAACAGAAUAGUUAACGGUACAUCCGUACACCCAUAACAAUUACGGAACAUUCAAAACAAAUUGUGAUUAUAGUAUUUAUUGAAUGCAUAAGAAAUGCUUGCCUGGCUACCCAAACUCCUUGCUCCUGCCAAACGUCACGCCCAUGGACAUUAGUUUCUUCUCAGCAGUGAGUCUGGAUUUGAGUAACUCUCCUUCGAUUUCUAGAAUGGAAAUCCAUUCUAGACCAUCUGAUUGGGCAAGAGCCAGAACACUCCUGGGUAUAGGGUCGUUUUAAAGAUUCGUCAUUGGCUUUGAAACUCUGAUUGGUUAGAGAUGACCCAGAUGACAUUGUUUUGUACAACACCUCUUGAUUUUGUCACCACAAACGACUUGAAUGAUGGCCGUCUCCGACUGACGUAUGUAGGAACGAUAGAGGAAGAAUUCAGUUUGAGUGGUCAGGCAAUCGAAAUGCUACUGCAUACCCACAACACACAUAUGCCUAGACAAUAGUCUUGAUUUUCCCUGCAUGAAAUUCUAAAGCCGGAAAUAGGAUGCGCUCCAAACCUCUACCCUACUCCCGAAGUGUGCACUUGCACACUCCCUCUCUCUUGUCCGAGAUGAUCAUCCCCUACCUACCCACAGCGCACUACUUACGUAGCGAAUUUUAACUAAAGUAAAUAUUUCUUCGCAAUGAUCGAGCACCAUUUUUUUUAGUAGAUCAAAACUUAUGUUGCGCAUUUUCUUUCCUACUCGUAGCCCUAUUAUGUGGAUGUAAGACAUAUUAAACUGAUAUUUACAAAUGCUUGUAGAUGCACCUGCUGACACCCACUUUUAUUCUUUUUUUUUACUCCAGACCCUCACGAUGCAUUCUUGUUUUUGCAAGGUAGUUUUUACACAUUGAAGUUCUCAAGUUGACCACUACUACAUGUGUGGCAAUGAUAACUGGAUGGCUUUCCUCCUCAUUCCUCAUGGUCAACAUGAACAAUAUGUACUGUGCUGAACACAUAUAAAGUGUGUUAAGCGGAUUAUAUGAAUUGUUACGAUUGAACAAAUCUGUUCAAAGUAAGACAUGUUUGCAUAUUAGCCCAAAAAUACUCAAAUCAAAUGUUAUUUGUCACAUACUUCAUAAACAGGCGUAGACUAACAGUGAAAUGUUUCCUUAUGAGCCCUUCCCAGAAAAAUAAUAAGGAAUAAACACACAAUGAGUAACGAUAACUUGGCUAUAUACACAGGGUACCAGUACCGAGUUGGUGUGCAGGGAGGGGUACAAGGAAAUUGAGGUAGAUUUGUACAUGUAGGUAGGGAUACUAAGACUGAUAUUCACGUUAGUCCACAUCCUUUUAGACUGUUUUAGGCGAUUGUAGAAAAGGUACCAUAAAACAACCCUAUGCUCUUUGUGUGUGGUGAAUGAUGUUACGCAAAAGUGUACGGCUGUUUUUCCCCAAAUGAGUCUUAUUUCGAAGCUGAAAUUUGAAAUGUCAUAUCACUCUUCUAGUUUUUCCAAGUAACCGCAAGUGAAUCUGAAGGAGUGGUUUACUCUUCUGAAAGAACGGCCUAACCUCAAGUUUAUAACUCAUUUAACGUUUUCUUAAAAAUGACUGACAUUUUAAGCAAACUGAUAAUUGUACUGCAGUUAUAUAUGCCGUGACAAGAGGGGGAGAAAGUUGGUGCAAAGGGUGUUGUAGGCCUAGGACUUAAUGUCAUUUAACUUAAGGGAAAGGAAAGAACGUGGAAAAGACAGGGUAAUUUGGGGCUUUUUCAGUGCAGUAAAAAAAGGGAGCAAUGAUACAAGGUAUCUAGCUUCUCUCCAUGAUCCCAUGUCAUGUUUUUGUUUCUCCUCUGCUGAGUUUGCAGUUUUAUCUUGACAGUCGUGAUUGUCCUUAUUGUGAUGUGCAUUUUAUUAAUAUUUGGUUUACACUGAUAACUUGUUGCUGUAAACGUUGGAUUAGGAAAUAAAGUCAGUAUUGGAAGA